UUUUUUUAUCGGUCAGGAAUUAAAGUGUUCAUAACGGAAAGUGUCCAUGUAACAUAGGAACUAGUGGAACAUAGGAAAUAGUCAGUGUCAUAACAUAGGAAAUUUCACCACCUUAUUCUAAAAUUACAGUAGGAUAGUAAGUACGAAAAACAUAGUUUUGACACGACAUAUGCCUGGUAUAGAUAUAGAUGUAUAUUGAAUCACCGUUCUCGCAAGAGCACCAGGCAAAAUAGGAUCAUUCUUGUUCUGACAUCUAGUUGUUAGAAUAAUGGACUUCAAAGGUUCGGUCUUCUGUGUUGUAUGUUAUGCU
rnacentral:lncRNA from 1 species